rnacentral:rRNA from 1 species
UACAGAGGGUGCGAGCGUUAUUCGGAAUUACUGGGCGUAAAGAGCUCGUAGGCGGUUUGUUGCGUCGGCUGUGAAAUCCCGAGGCUCAACCUUGGGUCUGCAGUCGAUACGAGCAAACUAGAGUGUUGCAGGGGAGACUGGAAUUCCUGGUGUAGCGGUGAAAUGCGCAGAUAUCAGGAGGAACACCGGUGGCGAAGGCGGGUCUCUGGGCAGCAACUGACGCUGAGGAGCGAAAGCGUGGGGAGCGAACAGG